rnacentral:rRNA from 1 species
UAGGGAAUCUUCCACAAUGGACGCAAGUCUGAUGGAGCAACGCCGCGUGAGUGAAGAAGGUUUUCGGACCGUAAAGCUCUGUUGUUGGUGAAGAAGGAUAGAGGUAGUAACUGGCCUUUAUUUGACGGUAAUCAACCAGAAAGUCACGGCUAACUACGUGCCAGCAGCCGCGGUAAUACGUAGGUGGCAAGCGUUGUCCGGAUUUAUUGGGCGUAAAGCGAGCGCAGGCGGAAGAAUAAGUCUGAUGUGAAAGCCCUCGGCUUAACCGAGGAAUUGCAUCGGAAACUGUUUUUCUUGAGUGCAGAAGAGGAGAGUAGAAACUCCAUGUGUAGCGGUGGAAUGCGUAGAUAUAUGGAAGAAUACCAGUGGCGAAGGCGGCUCUCUGGUCUGCAACUGACGCUGAGGCUCGAAAGCAUGGGUAGCGAACAGGAUUAGAUACCCUGGUAGUCCAUGCCGUAAACGAUGAGUGCUAGGUGUUGGAUCCUUUUCCGGGGAUUCAGUGCCGCAGCUAACGCAUUAAGCACUCCGCCUGGGGGAGUACGACCGCAAGGUUGAAAC